CAAGAGCUGCGCGCGCAUUCAGCCGGUCACAUAGGAAAGCAUUCAUAAUGCUUUCCUAUGGACGCUGGCGUGCUCUCACUGUGAAAAUCACAGUGAGAAGCACGCAAGCGCCUCUAGCGGCUGUCAAUGAGACGGCCACUAGAGGAAAUAGGGGAAGGCUUAACCCAUUCAUAAACAUAGCAGUUUCUCUGAAACUGCUAUGUUUAUGAAAAAAUGGGUUAACCCUAGCUGGAC
rnacentral:lncRNA from 1 species